rnacentral:rRNA from 1 species
UCCGCAAUGGGCGAAARCUGACGGAGCAAUACCGCGUGAGGGAAGACUGUCMUAUGGGUUGUAAACMUCUUUUUUCAGGGAGGAAUAAAAUGACGUGUACCUGAAGAAUAAGYAUCGGCUAACUCCGUGCCAGCAGCCGCGGUAAGACGGAGGAUGCAAGURUUAUCCGGAAUCACUGRGCGUAAAGCRUCUGUAGGUGGUUUAAUAAGUMAACUGUUAAAUCUUGAGGCUCAACUUCAAAAUSGCAGUCGAAACUAUUAGACUAGAGUAUAGUAGAGGUAAAGGGAAUUUCCAGUGGAGCGGUGAAAUGCGUAGAUAUUGGAAAGAACACYGAUGGCGAAAGCACUUUACUGGGMUAUUACUAACACUCAGAGACGAAARAUAGGNUARCAAAUGRGAUUAGAU